rnacentral:rRNA from 1 species
GAUGAACGCUGGCGGCGUGCCUAAUACAUGCAAGUCGAGCGAACAGACGAGGAGCUUGCUCCUCUGACGUUAGCGGCGGACGGGUGAGUAACACGUGGAUAACCUACCUAUAAGACUGGGAUAACUUCGGGAAACCGGAGCUAAUACCGGAUAAUAUAUUGAACCGCAUGGUUCAAUAGUGAAAGACGGUUUUGCUGUCACUUAUAGAUGGAUCCGCGCCGCAUUAGCUAGUUGGUAAGGUAACGGCUUACCAAGGCAACGAUGCAUAGCCGACCUGAGAGGGUGGUCGGCCACACUGGAACUGAGACACGGUCCAGACUCCUACGGGAGGCAGCAGUAGGGAAUCUUCCGCAAUGGGCGAAAGCUUGACGGAGCAACGCCGCGUGAGUGAUGAAGGUCUUCGGAUCGUAAAACUCUGUUAUUAGGGAAGAACAAAUGUGUAAGUAACUAUGCACGUCUUGACGGUACCUAAUCAGAAAGCCACGGCUAACUACGUG